ACUCCUACGGGAGGCAGCAGUGGGGAAUUUUGGACAAUGGGCGAAAGCCUGAUCCAGCGACGCCGCGUGAGGGACGAAGCCCUUCGGGGUGUAAACCUCUGUUGUGAGGGACGAAUAAGAUCUGGAGGAAAUGCCAGAUCGAUGACGGUACCUCACGAGA
rnacentral:rRNA from 1 species